CCUCCUAUUACUCCAUAUAACACUCUCUAUAACCUCUCCUAUUACUCCAUAUAACCCUCCCUAUAACUCCAUAUAACCCUUCCUAUAACUCCUCAUAUUACUCCAUAUAACCCUCCCUAUAACCCCUCCUAUUACUCCAUAUAACCCUCCUAUUACUCCAUAUAACCCUCCCUAUAACUCCUAUUACUCCAUAUAACUCCUCCUAUUACUCCAUAUAUCCCUCCCUAUAACUCCUCAUAUUACUCCAUAUAACCCUUCCUAUAACUCCUCCUAUUACUCCAUAUAACAUCUAUAUAACUCAUCCUAUUACCCCUAUCACUCCUCCUAUUAC